rnacentral:ncRNA from 23 species
CUAAACUGGCGCCGCCUCGGUGCUCGCGCGUGACACGGGCGGUUAAACGGGAAGCAGGAAUGCGCGCGUUCGCCAGGACGCCGCUCACCUGCGCUGCCCCCGCAACGGUAAGCGGCCGCAUCGUUCGAUGCAGGCCGGCUCGGGCGCGUUUCGCGUGCAAUGCACGCAAGCGCGGGCCACUGCGCGUUCGUUCGCGCGGGAAGGCGAGCCGGUGCGCCGCCAGCCCGGAUACCGGCCGAGGCGGGAAGCCCGUGC